rnacentral:rRNA from 1 species
UACGUAGGGUGCAAGCGUUAUCCGGAAUUAUUGGGCGUAAAGAGCUCGUAGGCGGUUUGUCACGUCUGCUGUGAAAACUGGAGGCUCAACCUCCAGCCUGCAGUGGGUACGGGCAGACUAGAGUGCGGUAGGGGAGACUGGAAUUCCUGGGGUAGCGGUGGAAUGCGCAGAUAUCAGGAGGAACACCGGUGGCGAAGGCGGGUCUCUGGGCCGAUACUGACGCUGAGGAGCGAAAGCGUGGGGAGCAAACAGG